rnacentral:rRNA from 1 species
UACGUAGGGUGCAAGCGUUGUCCGGAAUUAUUGGGCGUAAAGAGCUCGUAGGCGGUCUGUCGCGUCGGCUGUGAAAACUUGGGGCUCAACCCCAAGCCUGCAGUCGAUACGGGCAGACUAGAGUGUGGUAGGGGAGACUGGAAUUCCUGGUGUAGCGGUGAAAUGCGCAGAUAUCAGGAGGAACACCGGUGGCGAAGGCGGGUCUCUGGGCCAUAACUGACGCUGAGGAGCGAAAGCGUGGGGAGCGGACAGG